rnacentral:rRNA from 1 species
AUGAAUGCCCUAUGGGUUGUAAACUGCUUUUAUACGGGAAGAACACCACCCACGUGUGGGUGACUGACGGUACCGUAAGAAUAAGGACCGGCUAACUCCGUGCCAGCAGCCGCGGUAAUACGGAGGGUCCAAGCGUUAUCCGGAAUCAUUGGGUUUAAAGGGUCCGUAGGCGGUCUGAUAAGUCAGAGGUGAAAUCCUGCAGCUCAACUGUAGCAUUGCCUUUGAUACUGUUAGACUUGAGUUAUUGUGAAGUAGUUAGAAUGUGUAGUGUAGCGGUGAAAUGCAUAGAUAUUACACAGAACACCGAUAGCGAAGGCAGCUCACUAGGCCUGAAUUGACGCUCAGGGACGAAAGCGUGGGGAUCAAACAGGAUUAGAUACCCUGGUAGUCCACGCUGUAAACGAUGAUUACUCGUUUUCGGCGAUAUACAGUCGGAGACUAAGCGAAAGUGAUAAGUAAUCCACCUGGGGAGUACGAUCGCAAGGUUG